rnacentral:rRNA from 1 species
CCUACGGGGGGCUGCAGUGGGGAAUAUUGGACAAUGGGGGCAACCCUGAUCCAGCCAUGCCGCGUGUGUGAAGAAGGCCCUCGGGUUGUAAAGCACUUUCAGUGAGGAAGAACGCCUGGUGGUUAAUACCCAUCAGGAAAGACAUCACUCACAGAAGAAGCACCGGCUAACUCCGUGCCAGCAGCCGCGGUAAUACGGAGGGUGCGAGCGUUAUUCGGAAUUACUGGGCGUAAAGCGCGCGUAGGUGGCUUGAUAAGCCGGUUGUGAAAGCCCCGGGCUCAACCUGGGAACGGCAUCCGGAACUGUCAAGCUAGAGUGCAGGAGAGGAAGGUAGAAUUCCCGGUGUAGCGGUGAAAUGCGUAGAGAUCGGGAGGAAUACCAGUGGCGAAGGCGGCCUUCUGGACUGACACUGACACUGAGGUGCGAAAGCGUGGGUAGCAAACAGGAUUAGAUACCCUGGUAGUC